GUAUGGUAUUGGCCUACCGUGGCAGUGACGGUUAACGGGGGAUUAGGGUUCGAUUCCGGAGAGGGAGCCUGAGAAACGGCUACCACAUCUAAGGAAGGCAGCAGGCGCGCAAAUUACCCAAUUCUAACAGCAUAAGAGAGGUGGUGACAAGAAAUAACAGUACAAGGCAGUUAAAAUGCUUUGUAAUUGGAAUGAUAGAAAUUUAAAUACUUUUUAAAGUAUCAAUUGGAGGGCAAGUCUGGUGCCAGCAGCCGCGGUAAUUCCAGCUCCAAUAGCGUAUAUUAAAAUUGUUGCAGUUAAAAAGCUCGUAGUUGAGUUUUUGCUAAAAAUAAUCAGUCUGCUUUUAUUAAUAAAAGUGGUAUCUUGGUGUGUUUUUAGCAAUAAUGUCCUUUGAAAUGUUUUUUACUUUAUUGUAAAAAGCAAAUUACAGGAUUUUUACUUUGAGAAAAUUAGAGUGUUUCAAGCAGGCUAACGUUUUAAAUACUGCAGCAUGGAAUAAUAAAAUAGGAUUUUAGUUCUACGUUAUUGGUUUUAAGAAUUAAAUUAAUGAUUGAUAGGGGCAGUUGGGGGCAUUUGUAUUUAACU
rnacentral:rRNA from 1 species